GUUCGGAUUGCAGGCUGCAACUCGCCUGCAUGAAGCUGGAAUUGCUAGUAAUCGCGGAUCAGCAAGCCGCGGUGAGUACGUUCCCGGGCCUUGUACACACCGCCCGUCACACCAUGAGAGUCGGGAACACCCGAAGUCCGUAGUCUAACCGCAAGGGGGGCGCGGCCGAAGGUGGGUCCGGUAAUUGGGGUGAAGUCGUAACAAGGUAGC
rnacentral:rRNA from 1 species